rnacentral:rRNA from 1 species
CCUACGGGUGGCAGCAGUGAGGAAUAUUGGUCAAUGGCCGGGAGGCUGAACCAGCCAAGCCGCGUGAAGGACGAAGGUGCCACGCAUUGUAAACUUCUUUUAUCAAGGGACAAAAUCAGGCUCGAGAGCCUGACCGAGGGUACUUGAAGAAAAAGCAUCGGCUAACUCCGUGCCUGCAGCCGCGGUAAUACGGAGGAUGCGAGCGUUAUCCGGAUUUAUUGGGUUUAAAGGGUGCGUAGGGGGAUGGUUAAGUCAGCGGUAAAAGCGCGGGGCUCAACCCAAGAGUGCAGUUGAGACUGGCUGUCUUGAGAUGACGUGAGGUAGGCGGAAUGCGUGGUGUAGCGGUGAAAUGCUUAGAUAUCGCGCAGAACUCCGAUUGCGAAGGCAGCAUAC